rnacentral:rRNA from 1 species
UACGGAGGGUGCAAUCGUUGUUCGGAAUCACUGGGCGUAAAGGGCGCGCAGGCGGUUUGGUAAGUCAGAUGUGAAAGCCCACGGCUUAACCGUGGAAGUGCAUUUGAAACUGCCUGACUUGAGUACCAGAGGGGAAAGUGGAAUUCCCGGUGUAGAGGUGAAAUUCGUAGAUAUCGGGAGGAAUACCGGUGGCGAAGGCGACUUUCUGGCUGGAUACUGACGCUGAGGCGCGAAAGCGUGGGGAGAAAACAGG